AAUGGGUCAGCGACUUAUAUUCUGUAGCAAGGUUAACCGAAUAGGGGAGCCGAAGGGAAACCGAGUCUUAACUGGGCGUUAAGUUGCAGGGUAUAGACCCGAAACCCGGUGAUCUAGCCAUGGGCAGGUUGAAGGUUGGGUAACACUAACUGGAGGACCGAACCGACUAAUGUUGAAAAAUUAGCGGAUGACUUGUGGCUGGGGGUGAAAGGCCAAUCAAACCGGGAGAUAGCUGGUUCUCCCCGAAAGCUAUUUAGGUAGCGCCUCGUGAAUUCAUCUCCGGGGGUAGAGCACUGUUUCGGCAAGGGGGUCAUCCCGACUUACCAACCCGAUGCAAACUGCGAAUACCGGAGAAUGUUAUCACGGGAGACACACGGCGGGUGCUAACGUCCGUCGUGAAGAGGGAAACAACCCAGACCGCCAGCUAAGGUCCCAAAGUCAUGGUUAAGUGGGAAACGAUGUGGGAAGGCCCAGACAGCCAGGAUGUUGGCUUAGAAGCAGCCAUCAUUUAAAGAAAGCGUAAUAGCUCACUGGUCGAGUCGGCCUGCGCGGAAGAUGUAACGGGGCUAAACCAUGCACCGAAGCUGCGGCAGCGACACUAUGUGUUGUUGGGUAGGGGAGCGUUCUGUAAGCCUGUGAAGGUGUACUGUGAGGUAUGCUGGAGGUAUCAGAAGUGCGAAUGCUGACAUAAGUAACGAUAAAGCGGGUGAAAAGCCCGCUCGCCGGAAGACCAAGGGUUCCUGUCCAACGUUAAUCGGGGCAGGGUGAGUCGACCCCUAAGGCGAGGCCGAAAGGCGUAGUCGAUGGGAAACAGGUUAAUAUUCCUGUACUUGGUGUUACUGCGAAGGGGGGACGGAGAAGGCUAUGUUGGCCGGGCGACGGUUGUCCCGGUUUAAGCGUGUAGGCUGGUUUUCCAGGCAAAUCCGGAAAAUCAAGGCUGAGGCGUGAUGACGAGGCACUACGGUGCUGAAGCAACAAAUGCCCUGCUUCCAGGAAAAG
rnacentral:rRNA from 1 species